AAAAAAAAAGUACUCAGAUAACGUAUGUAUGAAUCUGAAAUCUGUGCAAAACAAAUGAUCUGACGGUGUCGAAUUUGAAGCUGACUUUAAUGAUGUAAUAGCCACUUCUAUUAUUGAUGAAAUGUCCUUUGUUUGGGUGUGGGUUUUGAAUCUUAUGAUUCUAAGAUCUUGUACGUUAUUAUUGCUUUACUUUGAAAUAAACUUUAUAUGAUAUGCUACUGGAGCAAUGCAUAUACUAUUUCCCGUCUUUGUUUAUUUAAGGAUACCUGAAGUGAACAUAAAAUCUCUAAUUUACAUGCUGUACAUUUGAUGAACUGGUAAGGACUAUAGACCAUGUGAG
rnacentral:misc_RNA from 1 species